rnacentral:rRNA from 1 species
GAUCGAACGGCUGGCGGCGUGCUUAACACAUGCAAGUCGAACGAAGGCGCUUAAGUUGAUUUCUUCGGAUUGAUUCUUGAGUGACUGAGUGGCGGACGGGUGAGUAACGCGUGGGUAACCUGCCUCAUACAGGGGGAUAACAGUCAGAAAUGGCUGCUAAUACCGCAUAAGCGCACAGUACCGCAUGGUACAGUGUGAAAAACUCCGGUGGUAUGAGAUGGACCCGCGUCUGAUUAGCUGGUUGGUGGGGUAACGGCCCACCAAGGCGACGAUCAGUAGCCGGCCUGAGAGGGUGAACGGCCACAUUGGGACUGAGACACGGCCCAA